GAGAGAUCAGCAAAUGUUUAACCAUAGGCUCCAUAAAAAUGCUGUACCCCAAAUGCUCGAAGGCUAGGUCAGCGCUACAGAUCACUGGCUUCUUGGAAGGGUGAUCCAGAUUCUGCUUCUCAGAAACUGUCUCACAUUCUUACUGGCAUCCUUGCUUGGAUAUGUACCACCACUCAGUUCUUCCACUGUGAAAUAUGAAGUUUCACAUCAAGCCAGAUGAGUCCUCCACAUCCCACUCCAUGCUGAGCCAGUCCAAAUGAGUGUGGGAGAGACCAACACCAGUGCCGAAUUACCUUCGAGGAAUGGAGCGGAUCCCAGCCAAAGCUGCCAUCUGUCCACAGUGAAAUCUGUCAAUUGUGGCUAUUUAUGAAAUCUCUAGUGAAGUCUAUAAUGACUCUGUCUUACCUGGCUUCCUCUCUCAUCCCAAAUCACGCAGUCCUCCACUUUUCUACAAGAAGAAAGAAAAAUCAGUAGACAUCAUCUUUAGUGGAAGAGAGCUACAGCUGCAGGAUUAUACUGAUCUGUGAAAUGACAAAUGAAAGAGAAAAGAGUUAAAGCGACAGAAAACCGUGGCUGGAACUCUGUAGUUAAGGCAGAAAUGCUUUGCAUUUUCGAGACUGAAGAGAGAAGAGAGCAGAUCAGAAGCAGGAGAAAACUAUUCAGUCAAGACCUAUGUUCUGAAUUAAGAAUGUGUCCAAAGUGGGGCAUUAAAAGCAGAUCAGAGGAUGCCAAAGAACUGAUAAGAUGAAAGAGGGA